UCCGAGUCGUCGCAUAUGAGACCGCAGUUGCCGUUGCACAGCGCCAUUAUGUCCUACAACAUUCGGCAGGAAGAAGGGCACGGGUUAACGCUGUGUCUCGGCAUACAACAAGAUGGUACUCACGUCUGUUCGAUCCAAUUGUUAAAUCAAUCGUCAAUUCAGAGCGAAGGGGUUGUUUAUCGAAAAGUGUGAGAGGGCGAGACAAGCAUGACGAUCACGAUGUUACACGGAUUCCAUGGAAAAAAAAAAAAAAAAGAAAAAAA